GACAGCAGUUUUACUGACGCUCAUGCUCGAAAGUGCGGGUAUCGAACAGGAUUAGAUACCCUGGUAGUCCGCACGGUAAACGAUGGAUGCCCGCUGUUUGCCAUUUGUGGUAAGCGGCCAAGCGAAAGCAUUAAGCAUCCCACCUGGGGAGUACGCCGGCAACGGUGAAACUCAAAGGAAUUGACGGGGGCCCGCACAAGCGGAGGAACAUGUGGUUUAAUUCGAUGAUACGCGAGGAACCUUACCCGGGCUUGAACUGCACAGGAAUGCGGGAGAGAUCCCAAAGCCCUUCGGGGCCUGUGUGGAGGUGCUGCAUGGUUGUCGUCAGCUCGUGCCGUGAGGUGUCGGCUUAAGUGCCAUAACGAGCGCAACCCUUCUCUUCAGUUGCCAUCACUUCGGGUGGGCACUCUGGAGACACUGCCACCGUAAGGUGUGAGGAAGGUGGGGAUGACGUCAAAUCAGCACGGCCCUUACGUCCGGGGCUACACACGUGUUACAAUGGCGCGUACAGAGGGCCGGCACUGGGCAAUCAGUGUCCAAUCCUUAAAACGCGUCUCAGUUCGGACUGGGGUCUGCAACCCGACCCCACGAAGCUGGAUUC
rnacentral:rRNA from 1 species